rnacentral:rRNA from 1 species
AUGGCCGUACCACCCUGAACACGCCCAAUCUCGUCUGAUCUCAGAAGCUAAGCAGGGUCGGGCCUGGUUAGUGCUUGGAUGGGAGAAAAAGUGGUCAAGAAACUGGUUAACUGGCCAUC